rnacentral:rRNA from 1 species
UACAGAGGGUGCGAGCGUUGUCCGGAAUCACUGGGCGUAAAGGGCGCGUAGGUGGUGGCUUAAGCGUGCGGUGAAAGCUCGGAGCUCAACUCCGAGUCGGCCGUGCGAACUGGGCUCACUGGAGCAUAGUAGAGGCAGGUGGAAUUCCGGGUGUAGCGGUGGAAUGCGUAGAUAUCUGGAGGAACACCGGUGGCGAAGGCGGCAUCCUGGACCGAUACUGACGCUGAGGAGCGAAAGCCAGGGGAGCAAACGGG